rnacentral:lncRNA from 1 species
UUAGCUUGUGGCUUCCUCGUGCUGUAUGAUUUUCUGUAAUGUGUAUUUAUCACAUUUUACGUAUUCAAUCCCCUAAUGAUGGACACCUGGGUUGCCUGCAAUAUCUUGAUAUUACAAACAAACUUGGUGUUCCAAACUCAUCCCUUUACGAAUCUAUGUGAGAACUGCUCUGGGGUAUACACCUAGGAGAGCGAUUAAAAGGUGAUAGGGUACACGCAUGCCUAAGUUCACCAAACCCAGCCAGAUAGAUUUUUUGAAUGGUUUGCUAGUUUACACACCCACCAGGAAGGAAGGAGAGACCCGGCUCCAUGUUCUUGGCAUUUGCCACCCAUCUAAUAUUUUGCCAUGCUGAUGGAUAGCUGGCAUCUCAUUGCUUUAAGUUGAAUUUCUUUAGUUAUUAAAGUUUGAGCAUCUCUUCCUACAUCAUAGAGCAAUUCAGGUUUCUCCAUAUCUGAAUCAUCUGUUCAUGGGUUUUGUUUUGGUUUUUGCAUUUUUUCAUUGGGUUUCCUGUCUUCAUAAUUUACAGGAGUUCUUUGUAUAUUCUAGAUAUCUAACCCUUUUUGGUUCUGGAGGUUGAACAUGCCUCUUAGGGUCGGUUGUGUUCACCGCCCUCUUCUUGAGCUAGCUGACUCCAUCUCAUUCUUCAGGAUCAGCUCAGACAUCCCUUCCUCCGCGAGGCAUUGCCCUCGCUCCCUGCAUUCUGUGUUCUCCAUCUCCUGUCCAUUCCUACAGCCUCCUCUCCUUCUUCAGUCUUCAUGCUUAUCAAUCUAUCAUGAUCACCUGUUUGAGUCUCAGUUUUCCCCCAAGCGAUUUUGAGCUCCCUGUGGCUAUAGAUCGCUUCCUAUUCAUUGUGACAUCUUCAGCUCCUAUUUCAGGGCUUAACAUGAAAGACAAGAACAAAUAUUUGUGGAAUCAAUAAGUAAACUCAUUUGUCAGAUACUUCCUAUGCAUCAAACCCCGAUUUAUCAGCAUUGUAGGCAAUGAUCCAUUAAACCAUCACAACAGCCCUGCGAUGGAGGACUUGUUAUCCCCACAAGAUUUACAGAUGAGGAAACAGAGGGGAUGUGUGGUGUGUGUCACAAGGAAGAUGGAUAACCACCAGCAUUUGCUAUUUUCCAUACUCACUGUGCAUAUACAACUCCGUAGCUCAAGCUGCCAAAUAAGUUUUAAAAGUUCUUACCAAAAGCAUAAUCAUUUAUUUGCCCUCGAAUAUUUCUUUUUUGCUUAACACGGCUACAAGAAUCUGAGGUGGUCUGCCGCUGCUCCUCUCAGCCUCAUCUCUACCAUUACCACCGCCUCUUUCUAAGUCCCAGGGACAUCCGAUCCUCUUACAGCUCCUCAGACGCUCUUCCUUCCCUUCAGAGCGGCACUUCUCAAGCUUCAAUGCAAAUAGAAAUCACCCGGGGAUCUUGUUAAAAAGUUCGAAUACUUAUUUACUACAUCUGUGUUGAGGCUUGAGCGUUUGCAUUUCUAACAAACUCCCAGGUGAUGCUGAUGCUGCUGGUCUGAAGACCACACUUUGAGUAGCCAGAAUUUACAACACUCUUUACUCCAGUUUACUCCUAACUACUCACGCUUCAGAGCUCUGCUUGAAUAUCACCGCCUCAAGGAAUCCAUUCCUCACCAGACUAGACCAGGAAACAGAUCUUCUCUGCACUCCAUCCUUGUUUUUUGAAGCCCUUAACACCAUCGUAUGAAUGAGCCACCACAUGAGUCGUUUAAUGCUGUGUCCCUCACUCAAAGACUAGCUCCAUGACAGAGGGAGCAUCAGUCUGGCUCCCCAUCACAGUCCUUGCACCUGACCAAGAUUCGCCAUAGUAGGAUGUCAACAAGUAUGUGUUCAAUGAAAGGAAGACUGAACGGAGAUAAAUGUCCUAACAGUUGAUUCAGAGACCCUGUGACAGUGGGUUUUUAACCGCUUUUGCCCUACAGAUCCCUUCGAGAAUUUGAGGAAAAAACCUCUCCCAGAAAAUCAGAGCAUCUGACAGAUGAGGAAACUGAGGCACAGCGAGGUCAAUUAGCUUGCAAGCUAAUAAGGGCUGAAGGAGAAAAUCAACUCCACGUAGCCUGGCUCUGAGCCCUGACUCUCAGCAUCGUGCACGAAGCAAGGGUCCCAGGGUCUCCUUCCACAAAUGCGCAUUCCCAGUGCACUGGAUGGGACCCUGGAGGACAAGAAGAGUGAUUGCUUCUCUCAAAGGUGAGCCGGAGGUGAACGUCAGCCCCUGGAGGACACCUCUGGCCCCUUGACCAGGAAAUACUGCCGUGACCGAGACAGAAGUCGCUCCAAACGCAGAGAACAUUAUUCCAAGCAAAUGAGGAAACCCAGCAAUUAUUUCCACUCAAAAGUUGGUAAUGAAUAGGCAUGUUAUUUAUUCAUUCAUUAAAUGUAGGCAAACAAGCACCCAAAGAGGAAGCCGUCUGGCCGUUCUCUUAAUGAAUGUGCCCCGUUUCUGAGUGCAUGUGGGCUGCGCAGAUGAAAUGCUGAACUCUGGAAAUCUAUUACCCACUCAGGAAGCCAUCCUUCCAGCCUUAAUUAGAGAAAAUCAGCAAUUCCCGCUUGUAAGAGAUGGUGGUAGAAAUCAAACUGAGGGACUGAGUUACAGACUAGCCAGGCAGGUGGGGCUGGGCUGGGCAGGGUGCACAGAAGCCUGGGCACCAUGUGAGUUCAUCUGAAAGACUAUGCCUUGGGUGUCCAGGAAGCCUAUUACACCAACGAUGGCCAAGAUAGCACAGGGAAUUGAUGUCAUUGCAAAACACCGAAUCCUUUUUCAUGAAGCCUUGGUGAUUCAUUCAUUCAUUCCAUCAAUUUUCCAUUCGUCCACCUGCUCAUUCCUGCAUCCAGUCAGCAAGCAUUUAUGGAGCACCUACGAUGUGCCAGGCACAACUGAGAGGUGAAGACUCCUGAGACAGUGUGGAACUUGAGUGAUUGUCCUUGGCUGUGCCUGAUGCAAGGGUCUUUGAGGAAGUGCAGGCAGCUGGCUGGGGUGCGCAAGACUUGGAGUAAGACACAUGGACAGCCCCACCCACUUCUCGGGCUUAGCCAGCACGGUGUGCUAAGUUCUGCAUUGAGUACAGACUCCUUCUCAACUCCGUUUUAUACCCCGGCUGUUCUUGCUCCUUCUUCCUCUCUCACUCAAAGCCAUCAGGCAGACCAUCCACCUUCCAAGACUUGGCUUAUGCGUCAUGCCCCUACAAAGUAUCUCCUGGACUCAUUCUCCAUCCCCAUCCUCUUGGAGUCAGAGGUUUUCUUCUUUAUUCCUAAAUGAAAUGUAUCUAUCACCGUCAUGGCAUCUGUAAUGCUGGAUUGUCUUAUUAAAUUGAUAAGCCUGUCUCCCCACAUAGACUCUAGGAAAAAUCCCUCCAGGCAGAGUCCUUUUACGUCUCUUGGGUGCCCAGGAUCUGGCGCAGUGCUUGGCACUCAGUUGGUACUUAAUAAAUGCUGGUGUAAUUAAUGAACAAAUGAAAGAACAUGAGACAAUCUAUUUUAUCAUCCUGUGUGAAUGAAGAAAUCAAUGAAACCACCAUCAAUGAUUGUUUGAGAAUAUAUGCUUAUUGUCUUUUUAAAAGCUCAUUCCUGGAAUGCUACUCAGCAAUAAAAGGAAUGAUUCUGACACAUGGCAACUUGAUGGCUCGCAAGAGAAUUAUGCUGAGUAGAAAAACAAAUCUCCACAUUUUCCAUACUGUAUGAUUCCAUGUGUUUAACGUUCUUGAAAUGGCAAAAUGACGGAGACGGAGACCAGAUUCGUGGCUGCAGGGAUGAGGGUGUGUGGAAGGGAAGGAGGUGCAGUGGAUGUAGGAGGGGACAGGAGGGGUUCUGGUGACAGGACCGUUCUGUGUCCUGACUGUGGUGAUGGUUAUUGAGUCUACACAUGUGGUAAAAUUACAUAAAAUUAGACAACACACAUGCACAAAGUCAAGUGAAAUUGGACAAACCCUCGUGGAUUGUAUGAGUGUCAGUCUCCUGGUCGUGACAUUGUACUACAGUUAUUCAAGAUAUUAUUAUGGAGGGAAACUGAGCAGAGAGUCCAUGGGAACUCCUUGUACUUUCUUACAAACUACAUGUGAAUCUUCAAUUAUCUCAAAAUAAAAAGAACACACACACAUACAUACACAAUGAGUUCUCACUACACAUCCACCAGAAUGGCUAAAAUUCAAAAGACUGACAACAUCAAGUGUUGGCAAGGAUAUGGAGCAAGUGGAACUCAUGUACACUAUUGCUGGGAGUGUUGAUUGCUACAAACACUUUGAAAAACAAUGGUAGUUUCUACCAAGGCUGAAAAUAGACACACUUUAUGACCCAACAUUUCCAUUCCAAGGGAUAGACCCCAACAGAAAAAUCAUACAUAUUGGAUGAUCUGAAGCAGAACAUUUCAUAACUCCUCCCCUUCUAAUAGGGCAUGAAUGCCAUCAUGAGGGCCUCACCCCCGUUACCUAAUCUAAGCUGAAUUACUUCCCGAAGGCCUCACCUCCCAAUACCAUCACAAUGGGGACUGGGGCUUCUGCUCAUGAAGUGGGAGGGGCAACCACAAAGAUUCAGUCCCUAGCACCUAGGACAGAGUACUACAUAGCAACCAGAGUGAACAAGUUGCACCUGUGUGCAUCAAUAUGGAUGAAUUUCAGAACCAUAAUGUUGAUGAAAGAAGAUAGUCACAGGGGCUGGCCUGGUGGUGUAGUGGUUAAGUUUGCGCACUCUGUUUCGGCAGCCUGAGAUUCACAAGUUUGGAUCCCAGGCACGAACCUACACACCACUCAUCAAGCCAUGCUGUGGAGGUGUCCCAUAUGCCAAAAAAUAGAGGAAGAUUAGCACAGAUGUUAGCUCAGGGACAAUCAUCCUCAAGCAAAAAGAGGAAGAUUGGCAACAGAUGUUCGCUCAGGGCCAAUCUUCCUCACCAAAAAAAAAAAAGAAGAUAGUCAUAAAAGAAGACACACUGUAUGAUCCCAUUUAUACAAAGUUCAAAAGAAGCAAAAUUAGUCUGCUGCU